rnacentral:misc_RNA from 1 species
UACGAAGGGUGCAAACGUUGUUCGGAAUUACUGGGCGUAAAGAGCGCGUAGGCGGUUUGUUAAGUCAGUUGUUAAAUUCCUUGGCUCAACCGAGGGUCAGCAAUUGAAACUGGCAGGCUAGAGGGCAAGAGAGAGGUGUGGAAUUCUCGGAGUAGCGGUAAAAUGCGUAGAUCUCGAGAGGAACACCGAAGGCGAAGGCAGCACCUUGGCUUGUACCUGACGCUGAUGCGCGAAAGCGUGGGGAGCAAACAGG